AAGGUUUUAGCUUAAUUAAAGUAUCUGGGUUGCAUUCAGAAGAUGUGAGAUAGAGUCUUGCAAAUCUUA
rnacentral:tRNA from 1 species